CAGUAGCCACGGGAAUACGUAGGGUGCAAGCGUUAAUCGGAAUUACUGGGCGUAAAGCGUGCGCAGGCGGUGUUGUAAGACUGAUGUGAAAUCCCCGGGCUCAACCUGGGAACUGCAUUGGUGACUGCAACGCUGUAGUGCGGCAGAGGGGGAUGGAAUUCCGCGUGUAGCAGUGAAAUGCGUAGAUAUGCGGAGGAACACCGAUGGCGAAGGCAAUCCCCUGGGCCUGCACUGACGCUCAUGCACGAAAGCGUGGGGAGCAAACAGGAUUAGAUACCCCCGUAGUCCCUGUCUCUUAUAC
rnacentral:rRNA from 1 species